rnacentral:rRNA from 1 species
CCCUUAGAUGUUCUGGGCCGCACACGCGCUACACUGAAGGAGGCAGCGUGUACUCCUGGAUCGAAAGGUUUGGGUAACCCGCGAAUCUCCUUCGUGCUAGGGAUUGAGGUUUGCAAUUAUCCUUCAUGAACGAGGAAUUCCCAGUAAGUGCAAGUCAUAAGCUUGCGCUGACUACGUCCCUGCCCUUUGUACACACCGCCCGUCGCUACUACCGAUUGAAUGAUUUAGUGAGGACUUCGGACUGGGACCGAUGCGGCUUUCGGGCUGCGUCGGUAUUCUGGAAAGAUGUCCAAACUGUNUNAUUUAGNGGAAGUAAAANUCGUANCA